AUUAUCUCUUUCAAUUUUUAAUGUCCUCUGUGUCUUGUUAGGUCAUAAACUAUUCCCUUAUCCAUAAGUCUGACAGGUAACUCUUUCCAUUAUGAAUUUUAAAACUGCACCACUCUACUCAGACCAUACUUUAGAAUAUCUGAUUUAGCUAUUUCCUGAUUAGUUACAAUGGAGAUACUUGUUCUGACAGAACCAAAUCUUGGGAACUCUACAUUUUCCCCACCCUACUUAGUUUAACAAGGUCAGGAAUGUUUGCAUCAUACUCAAGGAUUAAGUACCUGAGAAGUUGGCCUUCAAUAGACAUGUGCAGAAACAGUGGACAGACCCCUUGGCUGUCCUAAGUCAAGCUAAGAUAACAUUGGUACAGAUAAGAUGCAGGAAAGUGACGUAAAACCGUCUAUAUAGGGCAAGUCACUUGCACCCUUUGGUCUCUUUUACCGGAAAAGCAUCUCUGGCUGGCAGCCUGCUAAGCCUUCCAAUAUCGGCAGCUAUUUGUCUGGGUUUUGACGCAGAUAUUUACUGGGUACUGAUGAGCUGUGAUUGGUACUGUAUUCCAAAGUCUAAGAGCUUUUGCAACCCCAGAAUCACACUGAAUUCAAGUUAAAGUUCAGGAGUUACAGCUUCCUGGGGGAACUUCAACUCCUUCUGGAGUUCUGAGUUCAAGUUGGAGGCUGGUGAAGAAUCUGCUGACUGGACCUGAGACCCUGUACUUGGUGAGACUGCCCUUGAAUCACUCCCUUUGAACUGACAUGUGGUGAGUGAAAAGGCUGACUCUUUUCCUGGAUUUCUGAAGAGACUAACCUCAGGCAAGACUUAUCCUCUUGUGAAACUCCCUGCAUCCCCAGGUCCUAAACUCAAAAGCCAAGGCCUCUCUGGCUAAGGACUAAACUCCCC
rnacentral:lncRNA from 1 species